CUCAGUUUCUUAAUGCGAACGAUUGCGAUGAAGAGUUCUGUCCACACAUCCCACAACUUCGACAAUCUUGCCGCGGUCAAUGAAGCGUUCCAUGACUACGGCUUUCUCCUGCACCGUGGAGGGAAAUCUCACCCACACUUUUCCGUCAACCAUAAUGGCCCUAGUGACGGUGGUAAUGAUGUGACUGGCAGACGGUUGUGACAACCCAAUAGCUUCUACAUUCCAGACGCACUGAUGAAAACUACUCGUAGCAAAAAAA
rnacentral:lncRNA from 1 species